GACGAACGCUGGCGGCGUGCUUAACACAUGCAAGUCGAACGGUGAACCAGAGCUUGCUCUGGGGAUCAGUGGCGAACGGGUGAGUAACACGUGGGCAACCUGCCCCAGACUCUGGGAUAACCUCGGGAAACCGAUGCUAAUACCGGAUACGACCACUUCGGACAUCCGACGGUGGUGGAAAGUUUUUCGGUCUGGGAUGGGCCCGCGGCCUAUCAGCUAGUUGGUGGGGUAAUGGCCUACCAAGGCGACGACGGGUAGCCGGCCUGAGAGGGCGACCGGCCACACUGGAACUGAGACACGGUCCAGACUCCUACGGGAGGCAGCAGUGGGGAAUAUUGCACAAUGGGCGAAAGCCUGAUGCAGCGACGCCGCGUGAGGGAC
rnacentral:rRNA from 1 species